rnacentral:rRNA from 1 species
UACGGGGGGAGCAAGCGUUGUUCGGAUUUACUGGGCGUAAAGCGCACGUAGGCGGAUUUGUAAGUCAGGGGUGAAAUCCCGAGGCUCAACCUCGGAACUGCCUUUGAUACUGCAAAUCUCGAGUCCGGAAGAGGUGAGUGGAAUUCCUAGUGUAGAGGUGAAAUUCGUAGAUAUUAGGAAGAACACCAGUGGCGAAGGCGGCUCACUGGUCCGGUACUGACGCUGAGGUGCGAAAGCGUGGGGAGCAAACAGG